GCGGGGGGAAGACCAAGGAGGCCCCACCGGAGGCGGCCCGAGGGGACAGUGGGUGGCGGGCCCGCGGACCUGAAAUUAAGGGAGCAAGAAAGUAGGGAGGACGCCCAACCAACUGACCUCUAAAAAUCAACAAAAAAUGUUUUAAAAAAAGAAAGAAAAGGAAAUAGGGGAGGAAGAAGGGAAACGGGCAAGUCGGUGUCUCAUCUGUGGUCAUAGGGAAGGACCCCAUUUUCGGCAAGUUCGUGCCGAGGCCGGUUCCAGCGAUGCGGCUACCGAAAGGCCCGAGCAGCUUAGCGGGGAAACCCUGUAAGUGUCACGGUGGCUGUACUCUGGCCACAAGGUGGCGCGGGAAAAUCACAAACUUGUAACAAAGGGGAUGCGCUCUUGGGCUCAUCUUCACAGGCAUUGCUGCAAUCCCAUGAUUGUUGUAAGAAUGAAUAUGGAGUUAUUUUUUUACGGCCCUGAUAAUGAGAGGAACAAUUUGUUUCGUUUUUUUUAAAUGAUACAAUUGAUUUCAAGUUGACAAUAAAAUUAAUCUUUAGGCAGACUUUUAUGUCUGUACCCAUCAGGCAACUCUGUUAACUGCUCAUAGAUUUUUUUCACUUUUUCAGAACAUUAAAUUAAAAUAUAAUGGACUAAGAGAUGUUCUAUUUUUCCUUAUAGAUGUUUUCUAAAUAGCAGUUAAGACUUGAGGUGUCAGUGAUCUUUUUAGUCAUUUACAUGAAUUCCAAAUUUUGAUUCUAGUGUUGUCUAAUUGAGUUGGUGUGAUUUAUAGUUGCAUGAGACUGGUUUUAAAUUUGUUGUGGAGUCCAUGAACUUUGGUGCCAGUAGAUUGGGUAAGGACAACCUGAGGGAAGGGAGUGGCUACCCUCCCAGGCUUCAAGGCUAGGCACUAUCUCUCAUUGGCCUCCUUUGAAAGAGUAUUCCGCCCAAGGAAGCACAUAUUAUUUUCAUACGGAUAGUUAUUUCUGUUUCCAACAUUUAUAGGCACGCUAAAUGUCUGUGGUAAUAGCUGCUGGACUGAUACUGAGAGCAGUGGAUUAAUCUGCACUUGGUAUGCAGAAGAGAAUACUGCAAACCAACGUGCUUAUCAAAGAAUGUAAUCUUUAACUGGAUGCUUUUGCUUCCAAGUGAAAAAUUAAUCUGGAAGAAAAUGUCUCAGGAGCAUGGUAAAAGGCACAAAAUAAUCAAGCUAGUCACUGAGAUAUUUAUUUAUUUAUUUAUCUAUUUAUUUAUUUUUGUUAAUCCUCACCCAAGGAUGUUUUCUCCAUUGAUCUUCAUACAGGCAUGCACCCCUAACUGGGAAUUGAACCCAAGACCCUUUGGUGCUCAGACCACACUCCAACCACUGAACAACACCAGCCAAAAGAUACUGCUGAACAAGACAUUUCUUCACCAUCCUCGAUGAAAAAUGAACAUUAAUAAUGCAGAUAAGAACCAGGCCAAGCAAUGCUGAAAAGAAAACAAGGUCCAGAAGCCCUAAUUCCUUUUAACGAAAUAAAUUUAAAAUGAUAAGUUCAAUAGUUCCACCAUAACAAAGAAUGAGUCAAAAUCUGCUCUAACCAGCACCUUCACUUGUAUGAACUCAUUCCACGCUCUCAAGAAUUAUUACUACCAUUUCUGAUGAAAAUUUGGGGCAAAGAGGGAUUAAGAAAUUGUCCAAGGUUGCUAGUUGACGCUCAAUCACUGAGACAUACCAGCCAGGCAGAAGAUACAAUUUAAUGAAGGAGGUGGUGAUGAUCAUUAACAUCGAAUUCUGAAAAUCCAUGAAAUAUGAUGACAACUGAGUAAAGAUAAUUGGAUUAGGCUAAUUGUAGACUGGUGGAAAUAAGAGGCGGAUUUGAGAGCAUUAAAGAGAGAAAGAAGGUGCUUUGGAAGAAUAAAAUUCAGCAUCUGUUUGAUAUUUGAAUCUGUCCGUCACAAGUUCUUUCACACAGCUUGAAAAAAAGAAGAAAAACCUGUGUAUUAAUGCUUGCCCAUUUCCCAUGAAAUAUAUACAUAUUGUGGCAAGUUUAACACAGGGUAGUGAAGUCAUUAAUAGUUUAGUGAGCAAAUUAAAUUUUCUAUCACAAUAUAUUUUUUCAUGAAGAAUUUACACAAAAUAUAAUUACCUAUAAAUUUA